GUACACACCGCCCGUCACACCAUGGGAAUUGGAUCUACCCGAAGGCGGUGCGCCAACCGUAAGGAGGCAGCCGACCACGGUAGGUUCAGUGACUGGGGUGAAGUCGUAACGAGGUAGCCGUAGGUGAACCUGCAGAAGGAU
rnacentral:rRNA from 1 species